UGAGCUGCGCGAGGCGGAGGGUCACCUGCGUCAAGGAGCUGGUUUUGAGUGGCCAGGUACGGAGUCUCACUCUGUUGCCCAGGCUGGAGUGCAGUGGUGCAAUCUCAGCUCACUGCAACCUCUGCCUCCCAGAGACGGGGUUUCACCAUGUUGGCCAGGCUGGUCUCAAACUCAUGACCUCGUGAUCCACCUGCCUCGGCCUCCCAAAGUGCUGGGAUUACAGGCGUG
rnacentral:lncRNA from 1 species